CAUCACCUUCAGCCUGGGCGGGAGGGGGAGAACAAUCGCCGCCUUCUCAUGCUGCUCGUCUCCACCGCUUUCUCUCCACCAUACCUUGUCUGCGCCGCGUGGUGAUGACCGGUGGCACAGCCGGCGUUGGCGGCAGUGGUCGAUCCCCUGGUCGUCGUAGCUUAUGGAAGGCCGGCACUAGCGAGGCCCCCUCCGUCCCCAUCCGCGAGUUCCACGACAGGGGACUUCGACCUCGCCUGCGUUCUCCCAGGUUCCUCGGCAUCAACCCGACCUCCCACAAGUUGGCGUUCGGAGGUUUGGCGCCCUUGCCAAUCCAUUCUCUGAUUUGUUUUAGUUUGGUGGAGAUGUAAUUGUUUGAUAGUUUUCAGUUUGUUAGAACAAAGGGUAGCAGGUAACUACAAGAUACAUUGCUUGCUGGUUUGCUACAAUAUUUGACCUGAUGGGAGAUAUGAUGAAUUCCUUGCUGGUUUGUUACGAUAUUUGGUCUGAGUGGGGACAAGAUGAAUUGCUUGUUGGUUUAUCUGAGUAUCUUUGUUGCACUAAUACUACAAACACAUGUUAUCCAUUUCUCCCUUGGUAUAUCUAUUUGGGGAAGAUUAUAGUUUGACCACUGAGUAGAAAUCAAAUGCUUAAUAUUGGAAUGUUUGCUGGAUAAGAAGGUUGAAAAACUAGACGGUGUCGUGCUCUCAUGACUUCUCUUCUUUAUGUUUGGUGUUCAAGAUACUUAUGCCACCAUGUAAAAUAUUUAUCCAAUAACUUCUCUCUUGAUGUGCAGCUAUAUCUGAACUUCUUGAUAAUGCAGUAGAUGAGGUUUGUAACAUCUUCUAACAUCUUCUAUGAAUUAGAUACUCACUGAUUUAAAUUGUGUGAUAAUACUCAAAUGUCUGAAACACGGUUUAUUCUGUUGUAAGCUGAAAAUUUGAGAUGUCACAUUCCUGUUUCUGGGAAAACCAUGCUAUUACUGCUAUCACAUUUAUUUAUUUAUUUUGUUGUAUUCGUGUAUUAUAACACGAUGCUCUGUUCAUCAGGGUGUUAAUAACUUCACUUUCUAACAAAUGCCUCAUCACUGAUGGGGGUGACAUCGAACAACAAUUCUGUGUGGUUAAUACUGUAAAUUUGAGAAAUUGAUUUGCAAGCAUGUGCCCAUUGCAAAUUUCAUGGGUACAUUAUACAUUAAGAAUUUGUAUGACCUGACAUUCACGGGUGCUAAUAUUUUCUGAAUAGGCAUGAGUGAAAAGGUGAUUGAGAAUUCUGAUGGACAGUGAUGGGGAGGUAUUUCUCAAGGUUGCUAGUUCUCUGCUUGCACUUUGGAUGACCGUGUGAAGCACUGAAUUCUGACGUCGACCUUGCCGCAGAAGUCCGCCCGCACCGCUGAUCGGCGGGUGUCGAAGAGGCCCAAAUCGCUCCCACUCUGAAGCUCAAGGAGGUUCCAAUCACCACCGGCGAAGAGGAUGAGGACAUCCUGGAUAUGUAGCCACGCAAGGUGGAUCCCUCAUCCCGUAGAAGCUGCGAGAAGACGAGCCCCAGCCAGACGACUUACCCCCGUCUCCCGCAGAUGGUUCUUCUUCCAUUGAGAUGCCCAGGCCUGACGGAUCUUGCUCGUCAUCAGCCCAGGGCCCGGUCCGCCGGAGCAGUCAGAGAGGAGUGGCGGAUGUGCAUCCUCUUAGACGCCGCCGGUCAGAGAAGGCGGGGAUGAGCGGAUUGCAGCGAGGGAAGCGGCUCGGCUCGGACCGUCCAUGGCGCUAGCACGAUAGCUUGCCUCCUCUUCCGGCAUGGCUAUUGUUUUGGUCCGCGCCGUUUCUGCCUCUACGGACACAGUCGUCGUAGGUGCCGACGAGGGAAUCAGAGGUGAGUUCCAGAGGAAGCGUCAUCACGCCCAGUGUUCUAUAAAGAAAACUAUCAUUGAUCUGAUCUAUGUUUUCUGCAUGUUAUGUGUUUGAUGAGAUUCCUCCAAGCCAGCUGUUCAGUGAGCCCCCCUAAUUCAGUUGUUUCGGUUGGUUAGAGAUUGCUUGUGAUUCACUUGUCGAUCAGUUAAUUAGAUUGAUUUUUUAGUAUGUUCAUUCAGCUUAUUCAAAUAAUCACAUUCACAGGUUUAGUUUGGUUUGGUUAUCCCAUAUAUACUUAGUAGUUCUUUUAGUCCCGUUCAUGUUGAGAAUUUCUGAAAUCAAAUGUACAAUUUGCGUAGUUAAAAGGUAUUAAGUGAUGUUUGUAUGCAUAGUUUCUGCCUAUUGUAGCUAGAAAAAUGUGACUGCAAAUUUUGUCAAUCAUUUAUAGUUCCUGCCUGUUUUCCUAACUUUUUUCUAGGAAGGAAUAACAGUAGGACAUGCAUGUGUUACUUUCCAAGACUUGUUUGAGAUAAGGACCCAAUGAGUCGUCGGAAACUUCCCCUGUCUCUGCAGCAGUAAAUGAUUGUUCAGAGUGAGAGUUUGUCUAAAAAUUGUGCAGAGUGAGGCUCUAGCAUGCUGCACACGGUGUAGACAAAGGUAUGGCAUCUUUCAUUUGUUUUUGUUUUUUGAAGUUAGCAGGCUGCGCACGUACAUCUCUAUGUGUAAUUUUGAGCCUUUGUUAGCUUGUUGAUGCAACAAGUGCCGAGGAGUGACGUGUGUGCUUACCUCAUGUUUUUAAAAGGAAAACCUUCCAUGAAACAACUUAUUUCAGUAUGUUUUUAUCUUCCCCUAUGAUUUAUAUGUAGUCAAGUUUAGCCUCUGUGCUGAAAUUGCAUAUAGUGUUAGCCUAUAAAAACAUAAGUUGUUAUGUUCACUUUCAUAAGUGAACCACAAAGAUUUCUCGCCAAAAAAAACCCAUAUGGAUUAGUAUCCCGUGGGCAAAUAAGAAAAUGCAAUUAUUUCAAGGAUUUCAGUCAUCCUUGCGGUUUCUGGAACUAUAACAACUUCCGUGUAUACUUCUAUACUGUAUUCUCUGUACUUGAGAUUUUUUUUUGUGCAAAGUAUCCAAUAUCCAUGUAUAUCUUUUUGGUUGUGCUUAUGCUCUUGAAUAAUAGAGCCAUUUUCUUGGAAAUUCACUCCCGAUUUAACUCUCUUCUUUUCUGAAUCAAUUUAACUGUGUUGGUCAUACAAUUUCCUGGGAGCAAGAGCAAAUUUAACAAGGCAAUAUAACAAAACGUGGAGCAGCUAAUGUACAUCCAAUCAACUCUCAGGGCAUUCGAGGAGGUACUGCUCUUUGACUGAACAACAUGUUCACGUUUUUCUUAUUGACGGAAGCAUGCUCACGUGGAGGCGCCCAGAGGUUGUGUGUGGGCAUGUAUGACGUUGGGAUAGUCAUAUGCUUAUUUUCUGAGAUGUCAUCCUAUCCAUGACUUUGAACAUCAGUUGUAAAUAAGAAGGGAAGUUGUAUCUAUAGCACCGGUGUUAUUUA